UGGAGCUAAACUCUGCAGGACACCGGCCCUCCAGGAUCAAGUUUGGUGACCCCUGAUUUAAAAGAUCAGAGUCCAAAGAAAACAAAUGGAAUAUUUCUCAUGAACUCAAGUAAUUCCAGGAAUCAGUACAUUAUUCAAACUGUCUCCACAGCAGAAAGAAAUAUGGGUUUAGAACAACAAGGAUCGAUACAGACUCUCUCAGCCAUCUUUAACAAGUCAGUGUGGCGAGACAUGCCGUAGUCCCUGCUGAGGGCUGGAAAUAGCACCAUGUUUUGUGUGGAAAGGCUCGGAAGAAUGGGAUUGGGUCCUGGGGAGGUGUUAUGGAACCGGAGGGAUUCACAUGACUAAUGUCGACGAGAGAGAGAUGUCACAGCAGGCCCGUUCACACGUCUAUUUUAGCGCCAUUUUUCAGUCUAUUUUUGGUUAUUGUUGUCUCACAGCUGGCUACACAUGUGCACCUGCACACACAAUGCACUUCAGCAGUAAGGAGGUGACAGGGCAAGAUAUACUUCUUUUCAAACUGCCUUCUCUCUCUUGGUUUAUUCCUUUUUUCCUUUCUCUUCAUUUUAAAGAAGCGCACUGAUGAAUGGUUGACGAUGGUUGAGCACUGAAAUGACACGUGAACUCCUUCCUCUGUAGCCUGACACGGACUGAAGCUAUAAUGAGGGGAAAGUGUUUGUGUGUUUAAUAAAGGCUGGUAUGCUGAAUUGUUAGUGCAUGUCGCCUAGUGAUGAGAGGAAUUAGAAGUCAUUCAAAAAACCCUCUGAACUCAGUGAGGGGCUUUUAACAUGCAGCCAUUAGUUUGCAUAGCGUGACGACGCGGGUCGGUAAACAAGAAUAUCUUACAUCAACUGUGUAGGUUGGUUAUCUCAGCUACAUGGCGGCACUCAACAAUCCCUCUGGGUACAGUA